rnacentral:rRNA from 1 species
UUUAGAGUUUGAUCCCAUGGCUCAGAUUGAACGCUGGCGGCAGGCCUAACACAUGCAAGUCGAGCGGUAGAGAGGUGCUUGCACCUCUUGAGAGCGGCGGACGGGUGAGUAAUGCCUAGGAAUCUGCCUGGUAGUGGGGGAUAACGCUCGGAAACGGACGCUAAUACCGCAUACGUCCUACGGGAGAAAGCAGGGGACCUUCGGGCCUUGCGCUAUCAGAUGAGCCUAGGUCGGAUUAGCUAGUUGGUGAGGUAAUGGCUCACCAAGGCGACGAUCCGUAACUGGUCUGAGAGGAUGAUCAGUCACACUGGAACUGAGACACGGUCCAGACUCCUACGGGAGGCAGCAGUGGGGAAUAUUGGACAAUGGGCGAAAGCCUGAUCCAGCCAUGCCGCGUGUGUGAAGAAGGUCUUCGGAUUGUAAAGCACUUUAAGUUGGGAGAAAGGGCAGUUACCUAAUAUGUAAUUGUUAAGACGUUACCGACAGAAUAAGCACCGCAA